GACGAACGCUGGCGGCGUGCUUAACACAUGCAAGUCGAACGGUAAGGCCCUUCGGGGUACACGAGUGGCGAACGGGUGAGUAACACGUGGGUGAUCUGCCCUGCACUUCGGGAUAAGCCUGGGAAACUGGGUCUAAUACCGGAUAGGACCCUGGGAUGCAUGUCCUGGGGUGGAAAGCUUUUGCGGUGUGGGAUGGGCCCGCGGCCUAUCAGCUUGUUGGUGGGGUGAUGGCCUACCAAGGCGUCGACGGGUAGCCGGCCUGAGAGGGUGACCGGCCACACUGGGACUGAGAUACGGCCCAGACUCCUACGGGAGGCAGCAGUGGGGAAUAUUGCACAAUGGGCGCAAGCCUGAUGCAGCGACGCCGCGUGAGGGAUGACGGCCUUCGGGUUGUAAACCUCUUUCAGCACCGACGAAGCGCGAGUGACGGUAGGUGCAGAAGAAGGACCGGCCAACUACGUGCCAGCAGCCGCCGUAA
rnacentral:rRNA from 1 species